rnacentral:rRNA from 1 species
AUUGAACGCUGGCGGCAUGCUUUACACAUGCAAGUCGAACGGUAACAGGCCGCAAGGUGCUGACGAGUGGCGAACGGGUGAGUAAUGCAUCGGAACGUGCCCAGUCGUGGGGGAUAACUACUCGAAAGAGUAGCUAAUACCGCAUACGAUCUAUGGAUGAAAUCGGGGGACCGUAAGGCCUCGCGCGAUUGGAGCGGCCGAUGUCAGAUUAGGUAGUUGGUGGGGUAAAGGCUCACCAAGCCAACGAUCUGUAGCUGGUUUGAGAGGACAACCAGCCACACUGGGACUGAGACACGGCCCAGACUCCUACGGGAGGCAGCAGUGGGGAAUUUUGGACAAAGGGCGCAAGCCUGAUCCAGCAAUGCCGCGUGCAGGAAGAAGGCCUUCGGGUUGUAAACUGCUUUUGUACGGAACGAAACGGCUCUGGUUAAUACCCGGGGCUAAUGACGGUACCGUAAGAAUAAGCACCGGCUAACUACGUG